AUUUAGUGGCAAAUUAUUGGUGGUGUUUUGGAGAAGCUAGGAGACUAAGUUUUGGGAGAUCCCGGAGGAAUUGGAAGUCAUGUCAUCCGCCACUUGGGGGAAAUCUUAAACUGUAACCAGUCCGUCAGCUCCCCUCACAACUGGGAGCAACCGUUCUACGCCAAGCCAGGUCAUUUGGAGACCAGCCUGGAGAACCUCCCACAUACCUACUUUGUAUCCUGCCCUCUGCACCCCAGAAGGGCAUCGGUAUAUUAAUUGGUACAAGCUAGCACCAUCCCUGUGCUAAUUCGCCUACCAGGGAUUUUGGAAUCCGUAGCAAGGACACUCUCGGGGACCAUAUAGGGUUUGUUUUGGGACACUUGGUAUCUGCUAGUGAUUGUCACUUCCACUAUUACACCACAUUCAUUUUUUUGUAUAAGGCUCGGGACAUUUAUUUUGAUGAUUAAGUUUUAUAGUUUAUCGCACAUAUUUUGUUUCAAUAUUUAAGUUGCAUAUUGUUUUUAUAUAUCUAUAAUAGUUGAUAGUGUUCCCCAAACCCGUAAACUCUCUGGUCAAAGAGGUUUGAGCUCAGAUCAUCUUUUCCCCAUAUGAGAUUCUUUUUACCUUUAUAUAUUACCUGAAAUUUACUUGUACCAUUUAUUUACUUAAUUAACUUUAUAUUUUUAGUACUAACCUUGCUUGUCUCCACUUAUCAAUUUAAAUUUAUAUACUUUUUCCUCUUAAUUUGCUUAAUUUAUUAACUUAUUCAUAUAUCUUUUAUCUUUCUUUAGUCAAUCAUAAUUAUUUAACUUAUUUGCUUAACUUUAUUUAAAUUCAUUUAAUCAAUUUUUAAUUAUAUCUUUGGACGCUAUUCCCUUUGAAUAGCUAUCCAUUUUACUUGUUAUAUUUUUUAGUGACUACGUGUCGAAGCAACUGAUUUUUAUAUAUCAAGUAGACCGUAGGUUCACUUUAAUGAGGCUAGUGCCUAUUUAACUCUUUGAGAGUUACGGAAAUUAUUCAUUGUGAAUAAUCCUCCCUUAAUUAUAUUCUGGUUCAUUUGUUCUAUAGGGUUUAACGUUGCUGUACGUAUUGCAAUCGUACAAUUAUUUGGUGAAGGUUGUUAUUUAACCUAGUAUAUGUAAGUUGGGGGUACGCUCCAUAUAAGAGCUACCCCAUUACUAAUGUAACUAUAGAUUAUAUUUAUAUUACUAUAGGUAAUUAUUUCCCAUUGUCAUUUUAGAGUUACAUAGUUUGUAUUUUUCUAACUGAGAGGUUGUCAAAAAUCUAAGUAGUUAUAUUUAAUAAAUAUUUAUUUGUUUUGUA
rnacentral:lncRNA from 1 species